UCGCUUCGGCAGCACAUAUACUAAAAUUGUAACGAUACAGAGAAGAUUAGCAUGGCCCCAGCACAAGGAUGACACACAAAUACAGUGGUGCCUCGGGUUACAUACGCUU